UACGGAGGGGGCUAGCGUUGUUCGGAAUUACUGGGCGUAAAGCGCACGUAGGCGGCUUUGCAAGUUAGAGGUGAAAGCCCGGGGCUCAACUCCGGAAUUGCCUUUAAAACUGCAUCGCUAGAAUUGUGGAGAGGUAAGUGGAAUUCCGAGUGUAGAGGUGAAAUUCGUAGAUAUUCGGAAGAACACCAGUGGCGAAGGCGGCUCACUGGCCCGGUACUGACGCUCAGGCGCGACAGCGUGGGGAUCAAACAGG
rnacentral:rRNA from 1 species